rnacentral:rRNA from 1 species
UACAGAGGUCUCAAGCGUUGUUCGGAAUCACUGGGCGUAAAGGGUGCGUAGGCUGCGGAGUAAGUCGGAUGUGAAAUUUGGGGGCUCGACCCCCAACUUGCAUCUGAUACUGCUUCGCUAGAGACCUGGAGAGGAGUUUGGAAUUCUCGGUGUAGCAGUGAAAUGCGUAGAUUUCGAGAAGAACGCUCGCAGCGAAAGCGAAACUCUGGACAGCGUCUGACGCUGAGGCACGAAGGCUAGGGGAGCAAACGGG